AGUGAACGCUGGCGGCGUGCCUAAUACAUGCAAGUCGAACGGAGAUUAAGUAGCUUGCUAUUUAAUCUUAGUGGCGCACGGGUGAGUAAUAUAUAGCUAACUUGCCCAUUACUAAGGGACAACAGUUGGAAACGACUGCUAAUACCUUAUACUCCGUAUCUAUAUAAGUAGAUACGGGAAAGUUUUUCGGUAAUGGAUAGGGCUAUAUCGUAUCAGCUAGUUGGUAAGGUAAUGGCUUACCAAGGCUAUGACGCGUAACUGGUCUGAGAGGAUGAUCAGUCACACUGGAACUGAGACAUGGUCCAGACUCCUACGGGAGGCAGCAGUAGGGAAUAUUGCUCAAUGGGGGAAACCCUGAAGCAGCAACGCCGCGUGGAGGAUGACACUUUUCGGAGCGUAAACUCCUUUUCUUGGGAAAGAAUUAUGACGGUACCCAAGGAAUAAGCACCGGCUAACUCCGUG
rnacentral:rRNA from 1 species